rnacentral:rRNA from 1 species
GACGAACGCUGGCGGCGUGCCUAAUACAUGCAAGUCGAGCGCAGGAAAUCGACGGAACCCUUCGGGGGGAAGUCGACGGAAUGAGCGGCGGACGGGUGAGUAACACGUAAAGAACCUGCCCUCAGGUCUGGGAUAACCACGAGAAAUCGGGGCUAAUACCGGAUGGGUCAUCGGACCGCAUGGUCCGAGGAUGAAAGGCGCUUCGGCGGCGCCUGGGGAUGGCUUUGCGGUGCAUUAGCUAGUUGGUGGGGUAAUGGCCCACCAAGGCGACGAUGCAUAGCCGACCUGAGAGGGUGAUCGGCCACACUGGGACUGAGACACGGCCCAGACUCCUACGGGAGGCAGCAGUAGGGAAUCUUCCACAAUGGACAAAAGUCUGAUGGAGCAACGCCGCGUGAACGAUGAAGGCCUUCGGGUCGUAAAGUUCUGUUGUAAGGGAAGAACAAGUGCCGCAGGCAAUGGCGGCACCUUGACGGUACCUUGCGAGAAAGCCACGGCUAACUACGUGCCAGCAGCCGCCGCGG